UUUAAUAUUUAACAAAUAGGAAACACGUGAUCUCAUUCCGAACUCAAUAGUGAAACUAUUUUAACCUUAUGGUAGCAUUUUAUGUGAGAGUAAGAUUAUAUUAAAU
rnacentral:rRNA from 1 species